GCUGGGCGUGUUGGCACACGCCUGUGAUCCCAGCUACUUGGGAGGCUGAGGUGGGAGGAUCGCUUGAGCCCAGGACUGUGAAGCUGCAGUGAGCUGUGAUUGCACCACUACACUCCAGCCUGGGUGACACAGCGAGACCCCCAUCUCCA
rnacentral:SRP_RNA from 2 species